CUAGGAUCCCCUCUGUCACUGCACACAGGUGAAGGGCCUCUGACAGUUACCCCGUGACCCUGGCCAAUGCCUGUCUGCUCUGUAGAGAUGGUGCAGCCGAGGACACUCAGGCUGGUGAGGAUGAGCCAUCUGAGAUGGCCCCCUCCUGUUCAGAAAGAGCACAUGCUGCAUGUUGUCUGAUGUACCAUAUCGCAAGCGAUUUCACACAGCUGUGCACACAGGUGUGACCAUCUGGACAAUGCCUCAGAGCUCUCAUCACUAUGAAACUAUUUCUACAGCAUCAAGGUGGCUCCUUUGCAGCAUGAGAAAACAUUUCCAUUCAGUUCUUGCAACCAAGACAUCACCCAACAGCAAUGGGGUGUUUUAGUUCUAUAUUGCUAGCUCAAAUGCAAGAAGCCUGUGGGGAGGGAUGCAUGCUAUAUAGCCAACAAUGCCAUAUACAAAAUCAACCCACUGAAGCCUUUUUUCAUCUCACUCAUCAAAAAAAGAACAGUGAACAUAAAUCUAAUGAGAUCAGGGACCCGAAAACCGGCAUGUUUCCCAAAAUACACGUCGGAUUAUCACAAACACAAAAGGCUCACGAACAUAAGAACUGUGCAGAUAAACGUGUUUCUUGCACAUAUUUUAAAGGCUCGUUGUUUUAUUUCCCUUUGUGAUUACUUAUUCAUUUGUUUGUUGAUUUAUUUUUCAUCGCCUUGGGUGCAGAGGGUAUGUGUUUGAUGUGCUCCCAUGGCAGUCUUUACUAAAGGGGGAGGAAGGCUGCUGCAGCAUUCAGGUCAAAGGGAGGAGAAAGAGACAUGUCUGCUUAUUUGCGGCUGCAUUAUAAAAGCCUGUGAUUAAUCCUUUGAGGCGAUGAAAAGGAUAUAAAAAACUUUAAGGUGAGAUCAGGGCUGCAGAGGAAGAGCUCAUUGUAAAAGCUGUCUUUGCAGGCAUGCGUGAGUGGUGGCACAAUGAAGCACAAUCUCCACAUGCUGAUGCUCCUUGCAGCACUCUGAUAGUUGACCUCUCACCAUUCUGCAGGAGGGAGA